ensembl:lncRNA
UCUGGUUCUCCACUCAGGAUUGUGAUUGUGUUCUGGUUCUCCACUCAGGAUUGUGUUCUGGUUCUCCACUCAGGAUUGUGUUCUGGUUCUGGUUCUCCACUCAGGAUUGUGUUCUGGUUCUCCACUCAGGAUUGUGUUCUGGUUCUCUUCUGAGGAAUGUGUUCUGGUUCUGGUUCUCCACUCAGGAUUGUGUUCUGGUUCUCCACUCAGGAUUGUGUUCUGGUUCUCCACUCGGGAUUGUGUUCUGGUUCUCUUCUGAGGAAUGUGAUUGUGUUCUGGUUCUCCACUCAGGAUUGUGUUCUGGUUCUCUUCUGAGGAAUGUGUUCUGGUUCUGGUUCUCCACUCAGGAUUGUGUUCUGG